AUACGAGGGGUGCAAGCGUUAAUCGGAAUUACUGGGCGUAAAGCGGUCGUAGGCGGUUUGUUAAGCAAGAUGUGAAAGCCCUGGGCUCAACCUGGGAACUGCAUUUUGAACUGGCAAGCUAGAAUACUGUAGAGGGUGGUGGAAUUUCCAGUGUAGCGGUGAAAUGCGUAGAGAUUGGAAGGAACAUCAGUGGCGAAGGCGGCCACCUGGACAGAUAUUGACGCUGAGGAACGAAAGCGUGGGGAGCGAACAGGAUUAGAAACCCCAGUAGUCC
rnacentral:rRNA from 1 species